rnacentral:rRNA from 1 species
GACGAACGCUGGCGGCGUGCUUAAUACAUGCAAGUAGAACGCUGAAGGAGGAGCUUGCUUCUCUGGAUGAGUUGCGAACGGGUGAGUAACGCGUAGGUAACCUGCCUGGUAGCGGGGGAUAACUAUUGGAAACGAUAGCUAAUACCGCAUAAGAGUGGAUGUCGCAUGACAUUUGUUUAAAAGGUGCAAUUGCAUCACUAGCAGACGGACCUGAGUUGGAUUAGCUAGUUGGUGAGGUAACGGCUCACCAAGGCAACGAUACAUAGCCGACCUGAGAGGGUGAUCGGCCACACUGGGACUGAGACACGGCCCAGACGCCUACGGGAGGCAGCAGUAGGGAAUCGUGGGCAAUGGGCGGAAGUCUGACCGAGCAACGCCGCGGGAGUGAAGAAGGAUUUCGGAUCGUAAAGCUCUGUUGUAAGAGAAGAACGAGUGUGAGAGUGGAAAGUUCACACUGUGACGGUAUCUGACCAGAAAGGGACGGCUAACUACGUG